rnacentral:rRNA from 1 species
ACGAACGCUGGCGGCGUGCUUAACACAUGCAAGUCGAACGGAAAGGCCCCUUUGGGGGUACUCGAGUGGCGAACGGGUGAGUAACACGUGGGUAACCUGCCCUUGACUUCGGGAUAACUUCAGGAAACUGGGGCUAAUACCGGAUAGGAAUCCUUGCUGCAUGGUGGGGGUUGGAAAGCUUCGGCGGUUUUGGAUGGACUCACGGCUUAUCAGCUUGUUGGUGGGGUAGUGGCUUACCAAGGCUUUGACGGGUAGCCGGCCUGAGAGGGCGACCGGCCACAUUGGGACUGAGAUACGGCCCAGACUCCUACGGGAGGCAGCAGUGGGGAAUAUUGCACAAUGGGCGGAAGCCUGAUGCAGCAACGCCGCGUGCGGGAUGACGGCCUUCGGGUUGUAAACCGCUUUCAGCAGGGGCGAAGCUUGUGGUGACGGUACCUGCAGAAGAAGCACCGGCUAACUACGUG